rnacentral:rRNA from 1 species
CAGGCUUAACACAUGCAAGUCGAGGGGCAGCAUGGUCUUAGCUUGCUAAGGCCGAUGGCGACCGGCGCACGGGUGAGUAACACGUAUCCAACCUGCCGUCUACUCUUGGACAGCCUUCUGAAAGGAAGAUUAAUACAAGAUGGCAUCAUGAGUCCGCAUGUUCACAUGAUUAAAGGUAUUCCGGUAGACGAUGGGGAUGCGUUCCAUUAGAUAGUAGGCGGGGUAACGGCCCACCUAGUCUUCGAUGGAUAGGGGCUCUGAGAGGAAGGUCCCCCACAUUGGAACUGAGACACGGUCCAAACUCCUACGGGAGGCAGCAGUGAGGAAUAUUGGUCAAUGGGCGAGAGCCUGAACCAGCCAAGUAGCGUGAAGGAUGACUGCCCUAUGGGUUGUAAACUUCUUUUAUAAAGGAAUAAAGUCGGGUAUGGAUACCCGUUUGCAUGUACUUUAUGAAUAAGGAUCGGCUAACUCCGUGCCAGCAGCCGCGGUAAUACGGAGGAUCCGAGCGUUAUCCGGAUUUAUUGGGUUUAAAGGGAGCGUAGAUGGAUGUUUAAGUCAGUUGUGAAAGUUUGCGGCUCAACCGUAAAAUUGCAGUUGAUACUGGAUAUCUUGAGUGCAGUUGAGGCAGGCGGAAUUCGUGGUGUAGCGGUGAAAUGCUUAGAUAUCACGAAGAACUCCGAUUGCGAAGGCAGCCUGCUAAGCUGCAACUGACAUUGAGGCUCGAAAGUGUGGGUAUCAAACAGGAUUAGAUACCCUGGUAGUCCACACGGUAAACGAUGAAUACUCGCUGUUUGCGAUAUACUGCAAGCGGCCAAGCGAAAGCGUUAAGUAUUCCACCUGGGGAGUACGCCGGCAACGGUGAAACUCAAAGGAAUUGACGGGGGCCCGCACAAGCGGAGGAACAUGUGGUUUAAUUCGAUGAUACGCGAGGAACCUUACCCGGGCUUAAAUUGCAGAUGAAUUACGGUGAAAGCCGUAAGCCGCAAGGCAUCUGUGAAGGUGCUGCAUGGUUGUCGUCAGCUCGUGCCGUGAGGUGUCGGCUUAAGUGUCAUAACGAGCGCAACCCUUGUUGUCAGUUACUAACAGGUUCCGCUGAGGACUCUGACAAGACUGCCAUCGUAAGAUGUGAGGAAGGUGGGGAUGACGUCAAAUCAGCACGGCCCUUACGUCCGGGGCUACACACGUGUUACAAUGGGGGGUACAGAGGGCCGCUACCACGCGAGUGGAUGCCAAUCCCCAAAACCUCUCUCAGUUCGGACUGGAGUCUGCAACCCGACUCCACGAAGCUGGAUUCGCUAGUAAUCGCGCAUCAGCCACGGCGCGGUGAAUACGUUCCCGGGCCUUGUACACACCGCCCGUCAAGCCAUGGGAGCCGGGGGUACCUGAAGUGCGUAACCGCGAGGAGCGCCCUAGGGUAAAACUGGUGACUGGGGCUAAGUCGUA